rnacentral:rRNA from 1 species
AAAUUGAAGAGUUUGAUCAUGGCUCAGAUUGAACGCUGGCGGCAGGCCUAACACAUGCAAGUCGAGCGGUAGCACAGAGAGCUUGCUCUCGGGUGACGAGCGGCGGACGGGUGAGUAAUGUCUGGGAAACUGCCUACUGCAUA